GAUGAACGCGGCGGCGUGCCUAACAUAUGCAAGUCGAACGAAGGUAUAUAUAGGAAGUCUUCGGAUGGAAUAUGUAUAACUUAGUGGCGGACGGGUGAGUAACGCGUAAGUAAUCAACCUGUGACACACGGAUAACUGAUAGAAAUGUCAGCUAAUACGAGAUGAACUGUUUAAAUUGGGAAAUGGAAACAGCAAAGCGAAAGCGGUCACAGACGAGCUUGCGUCUGAUUAGCUAGUUGGUGGGGUAAGAGCCUACCAAGGCGACGAUCAGUAGCCGGCCUGAGAGGGUGAACGGCCACAUUGGAACUGAGACACGGUCCAAACUCCUACGGGAGGCAGCAGUGGGGGAUAUUGCACAAUGGGGGGAACCCUGAUGCAGCAACGCCGCGUGAGUGAAGAAGGCCCUAGGGUCGUAAAGCUUCUGUCGUAUUGGGAAAGAAAACAAA
rnacentral:rRNA from 1 species